UACGGAGGGAGCUAGCGUUAUUCGGAAUUACUGGGCGUAAAGGGCUCGUAGGCGGCCAACUAAGUCAGACGUGAAAUCCCUCGGCUUAACCGGGGAACUGCGUCUGAUACUGGAUGGCUUGAGGUUGGGAGAGGGAUGCGGAAUUCCAGGUGUAGCGGUGAAAUGCGUAGAUAUCUGGAGGAACACCGGUGGCGAAGGCGGCAUCCUGGACCAAUUCUGACGCUGAGGAGCGAAAGCCAGGGGAGCAAACGGG
rnacentral:rRNA from 1 species